rnacentral:lncRNA from 1 species
GGAUAUCUGAAAAAAUGAAGCUUUCCCCCAGAUUCACACAAGUUUUUCUCCAUUUCCCUGUUUCUUUAUUUCCAUAUGGAGCAAAUUUUCAGAUUGCUUUCACUUGGUGCUGAGAGGAUGAGGACAAGAGGACACAGGACAAGUUUGUCACCGUGUCCUGGGGAGAAGCUCUUUCCAUCAUCAGAUAUCCAAGAUUCUCCCUGUUGUCCAGCAUUUGAAAGUAUCUUUCCAACGUCCAGAGCUCAGGACUCUUUGGUUUUGAUUAGUGAUGGCAUAAACCCACUCCGCUGUUUGCCAAGACCCACGAAAGCAUAGAUGGAAUGCUUCUCUGCAUCCUGUUGCUGAUUUCAAUAUCUGAAAGAAUAAUUUGUCUGACUAUUCCAAUAUUCCUGGGGUCCAGAGGCUAAAGAUUAUUAGCAUAAUUAUUAGCAUACAAAAAUAUGGAAAACUCAUGGAGGACUUCGGCGGUCGGGACAGGACGCCUCUUCGUUGUCGUAGCUACACUCACUCCCGCACUGUGUGUGUUCGUUCAGUCAUUACCCACGAUUUACUCAUUUAUCAAGUGCUAAAAAUGACCAGACACUGGCCACUGGGACAUGGUUCCUGUGUUCUGAUGGAGCUGAUAUUUAUGAAAAUAAAUCAUCACCGAACAGGGAGAUGCAGGGAGACCAUCCAAAGGCCGUAGGAACGUGGAAGAAAGAUCCACCAACAGCACCAAGGAGAGGGAGAGGACUCAGAGGGAGAAGGUAGCGGUUAAACUUAUAUUGUUCUGGAGAAAGGUGCUGAAGCCCUGUGGAGUGAGAGGGGCCACCACAGACCUGCCACCAUGUGCCUAGACACAGUUCU